UUUUAUGUGUGUUGCCUUUUAUUUAAUUAAGGGUUCCUUCUUCUUGGUAUUGUUAUGGAAAAGGAUACAUAGGAUCAGCUAAUCGACCCUCACUAUAUACUUCACUUGACCUUCGCCAUAUUAAAUUACAUUAUUAUUUAUAUUGCUGUAGCAUUCAGAAGUCCCAAACAGGCCCCACUGUGCUAGGUGCUGUACAAACAUGUAAAAAAGCAUAGUCCCCACCCGGAAGUUUUAAAUCUCAUGCGUGCUUUUAGAUUUAAACCAAUCUCUAAAUAUUAGGGAUGAAGAGGAGACCUAAUGUGAGGAGCAGAUUAUUCCACAUUGCUUUCAGGGUGAUGACAAAGCAGAUUAACUGCAGAUUUCCAUUUCUGGUGAACUCAGUCAGCAAGCUACUGCUCUCUAUCCAAUAUGAGAAACAGACGUACCAACAAGUAAGUAUGGCUGGGCAUAAUUUAUUUUCCAAUCUGAGCCUUUCGGCACUAACGCAAUACAAAUAAAAUUUAAUAAUAAAAUACACAAAGUCAGGUGAAGACCUCUAGCCCUUGUCAGUGCCACCUUCAAUGUUGCAAAGUUUGUUGUAUUGUGACUGCAAAGCUUUAUGGAAAGAUGCUGUGCAUCCUAACAAUAGUCACAACUUUCUAUCUGGGACACCAAGGGAAGGAAGUAUUAUUGGGUCAAAUCCUGAAGCCCUUACUCUGGCAAAACUCUCAUUGACUUCCGUAAGAAAUACAAUAAAAUCUUCCAUUACUCUU